rnacentral:lncRNA from 1 species
CCAUAAUCUUGUAAUGUUAUAAUUUACAUUAGAAAUGAUCUAUCUUACCAUAUUAAGGUAAUGGUGAAUCUUGGAGAAGUAAAUUAGGUCCUUAUUGCACACUCAAGGCACCCUGAAGAGCAUUGUUGGGACCAAUAUGAGUCGUUCUUGGUAGUCCUUCGCUCAUUAUACUCCCUCUAAUCAAAUAAAGUUCACCAAAUUUUGACAUGAAAUACCUAAAUAUCUAAGCUGGUUAAGUGGACCUUGGAAGAGGUAAUUAGAGAAAAAUUCAAUGGAAAUUUCAAAAAUUAUGAGAAGAUCAUCAUUACAUAAUUUAAACACUAGUAUAAAGUUCAAUAAAGAAACAAUUUAUAGAUAUUGAAACUGACCCACGAAAAUUUGGAAUUUCAAUCUAAAAUUUCAUACCAAGUGGAUCUUGAGAGUUAAUUCAAUGAAAAAACUAUAGCAGAAUAUAAAAUCUAGAAAAUAUUAGGCUCAACAAGAAAUACAAGAGAAUUAAAAACAAAAAAACAAAAUCAAGGAAAAUGAUAUUUACUAGAGGGUGAUGAGAUGAGGUCCAAGAUUUGAAUAUACAGCAGUAACACAUCAUACUUGGGCUAAGAUGAGAUCGAAGAUGGCGCGUGCAGUUUGCAUCAAGCCGUCGUCACUAUCAAGAGAGAAGAGAGUUGAGCAAUCUAUACAUGGGAGGAAGACUCAGUCACCGUUGUCGAGAAAUAGAGGAGUUGGCAGUUGAGAUGGGUGGGUUUUUGGUCGUCAUCGAGAGAGUGAUAAAAGAGCAACUUUUCUGUUUCAGAAAAACAAAUCUCAAAUGAAAUUAGGGAUUAGGGUUGAGAUGGAUAGAUAUGUUAGGGUGUGGAGAGCACCACCAUAAUCUUUUCUAUUUCUUUUUAUUUCUUUUUGUUUUUGAAAUAUAAUAUAUAUAUAUAUAUAUAAUAUUACCUGCUACCUGUUGUGGCAGUUUUGAAAAUUGGCGUAUUGGUGCGCCAAAUCCACUGUAGACGUUGCCCUAAGUACUAAAGUCCCCC